GCCUUUAUAGCUCAGUGGUAGAGCGUUGCACUUGUAAUGCAAAGGUCCAUUGUUCAAUCCAGUGUGGAGGCA
rnacentral:tRNA from 3 species